rnacentral:rRNA from 1 species
UACGUAGGGUGCGAGCGUUUGUCCGGAAUUAUUGGGCGUAAAGAGCUUGUAGGUGGCUCGUUGCGUCGGGAGUGAAAACCUGCGGCUUAACCGCAGGCCUGCUUCCGAUACGGGCGAGCUAGAGUUCGGCAGGGGAGACUGGAAUUCCUGGUGUAGCGGUGGAAUGCGCAGAUAUCAGGAGGAACACCGGUGGCGAAGGCGGGUCUCUGGGCCGAUACUGACACUGAGAAGCGAAAGCGUGGGGAGCGAACAGG